GGUGGAGGUGGCUAAGGGAGCAUGGGUGCCGGAUCUGGUCCGGCAUGACAUGCGGGAGGUUCAGGCAGCCUUGCGCUCAGGCGCAAUUUCUUCCA
rnacentral:tRNA from 1 species